rnacentral:rRNA from 1 species
GCUUGACUGUAGCUUGUAAUUGGGUUCGGGCUUUUUUUGCGCAGCCUAGGUGGGAGGCAACGAUGAUUUUUUUCCGGAAAAAUUUGAGCCGUUAGUGAGAGACCACUCUGAAAAGGCUAGAAUCCUAAUAAUGAUCCUUGAAUCAGGACAUUUGACAGUUGCAGGUGGGCAGUUUUACUGGGGCGGUAUUCUCCUAAAAAGUAACGGAGGGGUGCAAAGGUUCCCUCAGGCUGGACGGAAAUCAGCUUAAGAGUGUAAAGGCAAGAAGGGAGCUUGACUGCAAGACCAACAAGUCGAGCAGGGGCGAAAGCCGGCCUUAGUGAUCCGACGGUACCACGUGGAAGGGCCGUCGCUCAACGGAUAAAAGUUA